ensembl:lncRNA
AGUUCUUAUGUUUUUAAUGUAAUAUAGCAAAGAAAUCUUUAACUACUUAAUAUAAUCCGAGGAGAGUAACAAAAAAAAAAAAAAUCCAGGAAGUUUAAGAACGCAAUCCUUUGAAACAUUUAAUAUCAGUCCAUAGCAAAUAGUCAUUACAUACCAAAAGCUCUAAGUGUUAACUAGUUCCACCACAACUCCAUAUAAAUCUCGACAAUUUAGAAAUCUUGAGAUCAACAAUAAAGUUCUUGUCUUGAUCUCUACAGCUUGGUUUGUAAGUACAUACAUGCUUUGAGGAUCCAUUUUGUCCCAUGUGUUUUCAAGGAGCCAAUAACUUUUUCCAUCUGUGCCUAAAAAUGUUAAGAUUCCGAUCUAGCACAUAGACCCUAACGAUGAGAAAUGGGGAAGAAAAUAAAAAGAGAUGGGGCACAAUGAAUUUCAAAUGUAUAAAAAUAUACUGAUAUUAACCAAAACCUUCUGGUCAAAGGACACUUCACAUACACACGACUUAAAAGUAUGCAAGAAAACACGACUCAAGUACCUAGAACAUUUGGUUCUCUGUCUGUUUGGGGAACACAUGCACGCACACAUUCAUACCAGAUGGGAGGAACACGCUCACAGAUGUUUGACUGAAUCCAGAUUACCUGGAUUAAUAGACAGAAAACUUGUCUACAGUUUAUUUCGACAACUAAGAGGCAGCUACUGGAGCAGUAGUUCAACACUGCACACUUCAUUCAAGUCCACCCUGUUUAAAAAAGUGUCAGAGUUAAUGGGCUUUUAUUCUUUUUCUUUCUAAACAUCAUUUAAAGUAGCAAGUUUUAAGUAUGGCCGCUGAAAAUGGACUCAAGCCAAUGUGGAAAAGACAGGAGGAGGUCAGAAGGAGGAUCAGCCAUUUAUGGGAUGGGUGUUCCCCUUAAUAGGCGUCUCAAAAGACACAAGUGUAUUUUAUAGCUAAAAAUACAGACCAACUAUUGAAAGUGCAUUUUUCCUCCUCCCCCUUUGAGUUACAGUAGUCUGUUGGUCAGUAAAUCCUGCUUUUUAUGGCCAUUCCUCUUUCUCUACUUCCAUCCCCCUUUGGGUCUACAUCUCUCCUUAAACUAUGGCUAAUUGCAGGAGUCCUGGUGUCCUGCUGAGGAAACCAUCAGAAUAGGUUUUGGGUGGGAGUAUCACUUAGCAGUGUAGAAGUACACAACUAGACACAAACUCCCAACAGCAUAUUGAGUGGUAUUAAACAUUACCUGUUUGAAGCCAAGUUGAGAAGUAAUUGGCAAGAUCUGGGUAGGUUUCUAGCUUGCAUCUUUGCUCUAAUCAUGAAAAGAAGUUAAUUUCAAAGUUGGAGAACUUCCGAAAAGACAAGAGGGAAUUUAAAACCAAAGGUGUCAUUUCCCCCCGCUGCCCUCCCCUCCAAACCAAGGACAGAUCUAACAUUUUCCCUUUUGUGCUCCUCUGUGCCUUGAAAGUUACUUACCUGAACAGCUAAAGAACGUUCAGAUAAUAAAAUGCUUCAGCAUCUUGAUUUUGAGGCUCUGCCUUGACAAUAACCUGGGGCUACUGUGAUUUAAACCAACAGCUGACAAGAAAGUUCCAAAAGGAGUACACGCUUACAGUAUUUUCCUCUCUCACACCAUAGGUCUGUUGACUAGAAAUACAGUCAUUUAUUGCCGGUGUGUACUUGUUCCAGCCUCAGACUCCAGCCUAUGAACAUUUUUAAGCACAUGGAAAUCAAUGUGUUGCAAAUGAGCAAACUUGUUUCGUUUUUCCCGCACACACUGAGUCUCAUUUUAUAGUCUGUGCACAAAAAGUAUAGGUACUUUUCAUUUCAGGUACUGUGACAUGGUAGAAAUAGUUUAGGUUCCUCUUUAACCUGCACGUUGGUAGUUGUCACUGCUAGAGCUGUUAUGUCAGUUUACUGCAUGCCUGAGUAGUGUGGUGAAAUGAAGGUGGCUCUCACCUUUCUCUCAUCUCUGC